rnacentral:rRNA from 1 species
UUAGUGGCGGACGGGUGAGUAACGCGUGGGUAACCUGCCUCACACAGGGGGAUAACAGUUGGAAACGACCGCUAAUACCGCAUAACCCGCUGGUAUCGCAUGAUACUGACGGAAAAGAUUUAUCGGUGUGAGAUGGACCCGCGUCUGAUUAGCCAGUUGGCAGGGUAACGGCCUACCAAAGCGACGAUCAGUAGCCGGCCUGAGAGGGUGAACGGCCACAUUGGGACUGAGACACGGCCCAAACUCCUACGGAAGGCAGCAG